UGGGGAAUUUUNUNACAAUGGGCGCAAGCCUGAUCCAGCCAUGCCGCGUGUCUGAAGAAGGCCUUCGGGUUGUAAAGGACUUUUGUCAGGGAAGAAAAGGCUGUUGCUAAUAUCGACAGCUGAUGACGGUACCUGAAGAAUAAGCACCGGCUAACUACGUGCCAGCAGCCGCGGUAAUACGUAGGGUGCGAGCGUUAAUCGGAAUUACUGGGCGUAAAGCGAGCGCAGACGGUUACUUAAGCAGGAUGUGAAAUCCCCGGGCUCAACCUGGGAACUGCGUUCUGAACUGGGUGACUAGAGUGUGUCAGAGGGAGGUAGAAUUCCACGUGUAGCAGUGAAAUGCGUAGAGAUGUGGAGGAAUACCGAUGGCGAAGGCAGCCUCCUGGGAUAACACUGACGUUCAUGCUCGAAAGCGUGGGUAGCAAACAGGAUUAGAUACCCUGGUAGUCCACGCCCUAAACGAUGUCAAUUAGCUGUUGGGCAACUUGAUUGCUUAGUAGCGUAGCUACGCGUGAAAUUGACCGCCUGGGGAGUACGGUCGCAAGAUUA
rnacentral:rRNA from 1 species